UACGUAGGGUGCGAGCGUUAAUCGGAAUUACUGGGCGUAAAGCGUGCGCAGGCGGUUUUGUAAGCCAGAUGUGAAAUCCCCGGGCUUAACCUGGGAAUGGCAUUUGGGACUGCAAGGCUCGAGUGCGGCAGAGGAGACUGGAAUUCCUGGUGUAGCAGUGAAAUGCGUAGAUAUCAGGAGGAACACCGAUGGCGAAGGCAGGUCUCUGGGCUGACACUGACGCUGAGGCGCGAAAGCUAGGGGAGCGAACGGG
rnacentral:rRNA from 1 species